AGACACAGCCCACUGAUUCCCACCACAGGGCUCUUACACCUGCUGUUUCUUCUCCAAAAUUGCUCUUCAGUGAAGGAACUGAGGUCAAGAGACAAAAUGAACUGCCCAGGAUCACACAGAUGAGGCGGCAGGGAUUCAUGCCUGGCUGUUCGUGACAUCAGGAGGAAAGGUGCUUUGUGAAAGUCUAAACAAGGACAGGCCACCUCUGGGAUCAGCAAACGACAAUGCACCUCCCGUCAAGCCUCUCUCGCGGCCUCAUGGAGACCUAAUUCACUUACCACUCAGUUCACCCAUUUGGAGUGUAUAUGUCCGUGGAUUUUAGUAUAUUCACAGAGCUGUGCUACCAUCACCACAAUCAGUUUUGGAACUUUUUGCCGCCCCAAAGGAAACCCCAUGUGCUUCAGCCAUCACCCCCGGC